GCCCCCGAUGUCCACGCGAUGCUGCAGAGCACAGGAAUGUAAAUAAUGAAUGUCUCCUAGUUUGUUUGUGUAAUCACCAGCGACACUGCGUGCGUAACCUUAUGACAGGGAUCAAUCAGAAGGACGUCACUGACAUGUCAGCAUGUUGCUGCUAGUUAGUGUUUCAGCGUGCACGUCACCACUCAACACAACAACAGGCUAUAAACGUCAGCGGCUAAGCUAACAACAAACGGCCACUGAGCGCGUUCUCGGCUCAGCUAGCCGUCAGCACACUACGCUACGUGGACGACCGACUUGCGUUCGUUUGAAAAAGUGUUGAAAUUGUCAUCAAUGUCGUCACAAAGGGAACUUUUAACAGCAAAGCCUCACCACGAAGCGCCAGUAGCAGCUUCUUCGCCUGCUGGGCGGCACUUACUGCGCUGUCUCAAGUGAUCGCUGAUUGGUUCAUUCUGUUUUGGAAGGAAGCGCUACGACUCGGCUGAUUGGCUGCCGAGGCCGGGCUUUGAUAACCACGGAUGUGUAUGAUUUGUUUUAACUGCGCGCUGAGGUUGGCCGGGGUCCUAACAGGUCAACGUAGUGGUCGCCCACUUUGUUUGUGGCGGUGUGUAAAUCAAAGGGUCUCUACCGCGUUCAUACGCAAGAAAGCUGUGGCGCAGCGCCCUCAUUUGUCCGAAAGUGAAUCGAUCGCGCUGAAAGCGGCAGGAGGCUUUCUGGAAACUUCCCGAGCGGGGACUUGAACGUGCGCAGGUGCGGAGGAGACACGGGCCGUUCCUGCGUCCGCGAGGGAGGGGUC